rnacentral:rRNA from 1 species
GACGAACGCUGGCGGCGUGCCUAAUACAUGCAAGUCGAACGCAGUGGGGACGGGUGCGUAACACGUGGGUAACCUCCCAUCAGAGGGGAUAACACUUGGAAACAGGUGCUAAACCGAUAUUGAUUGAUGGACUCGCGGUGCAUUAGCUAGUUGUGGGGGUAAAGGCUCACCAAGGCCACGAUGCAUAGCCGACCUGAGAGGGUGAUCGGCCACACUGGGACUGAGACACGGCCCAGACUCCGACGGGAGGCAGCAUUGGGGAAUCUUGGGCAAUGGACGAAAGUCUGACCGAGCAACGCCGCGUGAGUGAAGAAGGUUUUCGGAUCGUAAAACACUGUUGUCAGAGAAGCGGUAUCUAACCAGAAAGCCACGGCUAACUACGUGCCAGCAGCCGCGGUAAUUC